GCCGCCCGACGCCGGCCGGCGUGAACGCCAGUUGUUAGCGCGACAUAGAAAAAGUUUACGCAGUGUGACAUGUUUAAGUGUCGUUGAAUGGUUGUUUUACAAGAUUUUUGAUAAAGGUUCCAUCGACAUCAGACAUGUCCUGAACCAAAGACUUAGAGUAUAUGCACAUAAUGUUAUCUACGCCCUGACGUGAUGCAACUAUUAAUGGUUAACUUCUUAAUCAUGUUUGACGUGGUGUUCGUUUUCUUUCUCUUUCUAAUCGCGGUGACAUGCGUGAUGAAUUACAUGCCCGGACGGAGGCGACAAGAAGUUAUAGAGGAAGAGGUUGAUAAUGACGUUAUUCCUCCGCCGCCGCUGUUCGCUGGCAAUGACGAGAUACCAUGCACCAGCCGAGACACGUACGUUGUUAUACCGCCACCUUUGGACAACAUGAGGUCUAAGGAUGGGUGCCCUAUACACGUCGUUUAGUAUACACGUACUGAUAUUAUCAACGUAGGAGUUUAUUAAAAAGAAGCCUUAUGAAAUCGUAGAAGUCAAAAAGAAAAAAAGAAUCGUAGACGUUUUUUACCAAUUAAUUAAAGAAAUUAUAUGUUAUUGAAAGACUAAAAUGGUGAAAAUUGGGGACUCAAGUGGUGGUCAUUAGUUACGACUAUAUGGAAAAAAAUAAUUUAAAAUGAUACGCGUCAUAUCAAGUAUAAUGAUAUUGAAGUGUUACGAAGUAUUGUGUCAGGUAGACAAAUUUAUUAGUAAAUGAAAUCAAUUAAAAUAUUAAUAUAAAGGAAACAAUGAAAAAGAAAUAACUAUUUAAAAAUAGAUUUAUUUUUAUUGUAUUUUAUUAUAGAUUGUAUUAUUUUAUAGCUUUUUUUGUAACUUCACAUACUUAGAAAGUGAUUAAACACCUCGUAAUCGCUGUUCAUUUGUAAAUGCUUAUUUAAUAUUGAUGUGACUGAAUAGUAGGAUAGUUAAUUGUUAUAUAACAUUAGAUAUGCUGUUUUCUUGAAAUGUAGCUAGUCAUGUUCUUAAAAUUUACUUUAUACAUAAGAAACGCUUACUCAGCGUGAUUUUGUAAGGUAAUUUUCAU